CCUACGGAGUGCAGCAGUGGGGAAUAUUGGACAAUGGGCGAAAGCCUGAUCCAGCCAUGCCGCGUGUGUGAAGAAGGCCUUCGGGUUGUAAAGCACUUUCAGUGGGGAAGAAAGCCUUGGGGCUAAUACCCUCGAGGAAGGACAUCACCCACAGAAGAAGCACCGGCUAACUCCGUGCCAGCAGCCGCGGUAAUACGGAGGGUGCGAGCGUUAAUCGGAAUUACUGGGCGUAAAGCGCGCGUAGGCGGUCUGAUAAGCCGGUUGUGAAAGCCCCGGGCUCAACCUGGGAACGGCAUCCGGAACUGUCAGGCUAGAGUGCAGGAGAGGAAGGUAGAAUUCCCGGUGUAGCGGUGAAAUGCGUAGAGAUCGGGAGGAAUACCAGUGGCGAAGGCGGCCUUCUGGACUGACACUGACGCUAAGGUGCGAAAGCGUGGGUAGCAAACAGGAUUAGAUACCCGAGUAGUC
rnacentral:rRNA from 1 species